UACGUAGGGUGCAAGCGUUGUCCGGAAUUAUUGGGCGUAAAGAGCUCGUAGGCGGUCUGUCGCGUCUGCUGUGAAAACUCAGGGCUUAACCCUGAGCUUGCAGUGGGGUACGGGCAGACUAGAGGUGCGGUAGGGGAGACUGGAAUUCCUGGUGUAGCGGUGAAAUGCGUAGAUAUCUGGAGGAACACCGGUGGCGAAGGCGGCAUCCUGGACCAAUACGUGAACGGCUGAGGGAGCGAAAGCCAGGGGAGCAAACGGG
rnacentral:rRNA from 1 species